rnacentral:rRNA from 1 species
GGAAUUUUGCGCAAUGGGCGAAAGCCUGACGCAGCAACGCCGCGUGGAGGAUGAAGGUCCUUGGAUUGUAAACUCCUGUCAGCAGGGAAGAAAUCUGCCGGGUUAAUACCCCGGUAGUUUGACUGUACCUGCAGAGGAAGCCCCUGCUAACUCUGUGCCAGCAGCCGCGGUAAUACAGAGGGGGCAAGCGUUAUUCGGAAUUAUUGGGCGUAAAGGGCGCGUAGGCGGCCUGGCAAGUGGAAGGUGAAAUCCCGCGGCUCAACCGAGGAACUGCCUCCCAAACUGCCUGGCUUGAGUCCGGGAGAGGUGAGUGGAAUUCCCAGUGUAGCGGUGAAAUGCGUAGAUAUUGGGAGGAACACCAGUGGCGAAGGCGGCUCACUGGACCGGAACUGACGCUGAGGCGCGAAAGCGUGGGGAGCAAAC